GUAGCGUUUUCUGGGAAAUCACGUGACCUGACAAGAACAACCGGCGCGUCAAGUUUGCAGCCAAAUUUCCCUAUCAGAGAUCUUGUCCCAAGUGGAGGAGUUCAAGUACCUCGGAGUCUUGUUCACGAGUGAGGGAAGAGUGGAUCGUGAGAUCGACAGGCGGAUCGGUGCGGCGUCUUCAGUAAUGCGGACGCUGUAUCGAUCCGUUGUGGUGAAGAAGGAGCUGAGCCGGAAGGCAAAGCUCUCAAUUUACCGGUCGAUCUACGUUCCCAUCCUCACCUAUGGUCAUGAGCUUUGGGUUAUGACCGAAAGGACAAGAUCACGGGUACAAGCGGCCGAAAUGAGUUUCCUCCGCCGGGUGGCGGGGCUCUCCCUUAGAGAUAGGGUGAGAAGCUCUGUCAUCCGGGGGGAGCUCAAAGUAAAGCCGCUGCUCCUCCACAUCGAGAGGAGCCAGAUGAGGUGGUUCGGGCAUCUGGUCAGGAUGCCACCUGAAGGAGGUAGGAGGCCACGGGGGAAGACCCAGGACACGUUGGGAAGACUAUCUCUCCCGGCUGGCCUGGGAACGCCUCGGGAUCCUCUGGGAGGAGCAGGACGAAGUGGCUGGGGAGAGGGUAGUCUGGGCUUCCCUGCUUAGGCUGCUUCCCCCGUGACCUGACCUCGGAUAAGCGGAAGAAAAUGGAUGGAUGGAUGGACAAUGCUCUACAGCAUUCUCACAAUAACAACGUCCUUUGUUUUUUAAUCCGUUAUGAAAUAAAACAUUUGAAAAUGGA